rnacentral:rRNA from 1 species
CGUGUAGGCGGUUGGGUAAGUCAGAUGUGAAAGCCUUCUGCUUAACAGAAGAAGUGCAUUUGAAACUGCUCGGCUAGAGUACGGGAGAGGAGAGUGGAAUUCCCGGUGUAGAGGUGAAAUUCGUAGAUAUCGGGAGGGACACCAGUGGCGAAGGCGGCUCUCUGGUCCGAUACUGACGCUGAGACGCGAAAGCGUGGGGAGCAAACAGGAUUAGAUACCCUGGUAGUCCACGCCGUAAACGAUGGGCACUAGGUGUAGGAGGUAUUGACCCCUUCUGUGCCGAAGCUAACGCAUUAAGUGCCCCGCCUGGGGAGUACGGCCGCAAGGCUAAA